rnacentral:rRNA from 1 species
AUUGAACGCUGGCGGCAUGCCUUACACAUGCAAGUCGAACGAGUGGCGAACGGGUGAGUAAUAUAUCGGAACGUACUGAGUAAUGGGGGAUAAUCAUACGAACGAUUGGCAAAUACACCAAAUUAUUUGAGCGGCCGAUAACUGAUUAGCUCGUUGGUGGGGUAAAGGCCUACCAAGGCGACGAUCAGUAGCGGGUCUGAGAGGACGCGCCGCCACACUGGGACUGAGACACGGCCCAGACUCCUACGGGAGGCAGCAGUGGGGAAUUUUGGACAAUGGGGGCAACCCUGAUCCAGCCAUGCCGCGUGUAUGAAGAAGGCCUUCGGGUUGUAAAGUACUUUUGUUAGGGAAGCGGUACCUAAAGAAUAAGCACCGGCUAACUACGUGCCAGCAGCCGCGGUAAUAC